GUUGCAGGGAAAAGCCUGAGGAUGUGAUCCAAAUGCACUACAAGGCUCAAAAGCCUGAUGCCAAACAACAAGAAGCCAAACUGUGUUGCCGUUUUAAAAUCUCUGAAGUUGUAAGGCAAGCUGAGCGUGCUCUGGUCUUCACCCAUGCUUUCCAGUUUGGAGCAUGCAAAAGCAGGCGACCCUGGCGUACCUUUGCCCUCAUCAAAGGCAGUGCAUGAGACCAACAGCGAGGGCUUCCGACAGUCCACUUCGGAAAUGCUAACGGAGAGCAAAGCUGCAAGGGAGAAACCGAAGAAGGAACUUCCCAAAGGCUCCGAGCAGAUGCAUGCUGGAAAGAGAAGAGUCUUAAUAAAUCAAUAGGACCUUCACACCAUGAACAGAAAGAUGUGGCUCUAACUGAAGAUUUCCCAAAGAGGAGCGUUAAAUGAUAUGAUAAACGUUGACCAAGGCCCGACUGCGAUGCACCAGUACAGCAGCAGGCGAGAGAGAAGCGACAAGGAUUGAACUGUGUUCCGUGCAAAGGCAACUACCCAUUUGUCCUGACCGAACUGCUGCACUCCUGCCUCUCCAUAGGGGCCCAGGCAGAAUGGAUGAAGCUAAAAGACUUCACGGGUGCCGUUGCCUUUUUGCCUCUGGUCUGAAUAAAGGAGUUCCCCAGUUUUCCUACUGAAGUGAAACGGCCCUCUUGCUUGCUCACCUGAGGAGAUAGCACUGAAUACUCCCCGCAGGCUCUGUGAAGUCCGUGGCUUCAUGGAAACCUCUGCACUACUACACGAUUAGGAGGGAAUACAAGUAAUGAGAGAACAGAACAGGCAUUGCCGAUCUGCAGAGAGAAAUGUUUAGGUAUGAUGCGUCCUGGAUCAGGACCCAAAUGCAUGGCAGGAGUUUUUUUGAGGCUCUGCUAGCAAGCCUGGGAACGACUGUGAUGCUUUCUGUGCCAUUCAGGAUGACAGAAGAUUUAUGCCUGGGGCGUCUGCACAGACAGCCGCUCAGAGGGCUGGAGAUCCAAGCGUAAAGUCACACUUUUGAGGGAUGCUGUGUGCCUUUCCCGUGGAUGCCCACCGGUGUCCUGACACCACAGACCAAAGCAGCUCUUACUUCCCUGUCUGGUGCCCUCCCAGGGCUCAGGCAGAGCCAUGGCUGUGGUGCUGCGGGCUGUUGCUCGGCGGUGGCAAGCUGACGCAAAGCAGCAAGUCUUCAUCCUGCCAUACAGAUGUGCACAGAUGUGCUAGACCUUAGCCGUGACCCGGUGACAGUUGCUCAGCCCUGGUCCACGGGUGGCUGUCGCUGGAGGGUGCCUCCUCCGCUCCGCUCCCAGCAGCCCUGCAACGCGUCGGCGCGUGGCCCCUCGCCCAGCGCCGCGGCCGGGAGUGCGCCGGGCCGCCACUGCCCUUCCCCCGGCCGCCGUCGGCAGCUUGGGGGGCUUUUUUGGUGUCACCCGCUUGCCACCUCAGCCUGGUGCCACCAGCUCCUCCCGCCUGAACACGGCCAAGCAGGAGCAACCAUCGCCCCCUAAGAGCUGGAUUGCCGGUGGAGGGCCCAGAGCCGAAGCCUUCAGCGGGGUGAGGACGACCGCGUGGGUCCCACGGAGCCGGGGGAGCUGCCUCCGUGCAACGGGGCCCUGCGCCUCCGCGGUGCCUCCCUGCCCGGCACGUUCAGCCCACGGUUCCCGGGAUGCCGUGGGCUGGGACUGGCGCGUCCCGCGCAGGGACGGAGAGCGGCUCUGUGCCGAGGGCUGGCGACCGCGGAGACGCUGCCCGAGACGCUGCUGGUCCCGAGCAGUUGAAGCGAAAGAGCUUUCCGAGCUAUGCUGCCUGCGCGAGGCGUGUGCUGGCGCCCCGCUCCCGGCCUGUCGAUGGGCUAAGGGCGGCUCACCUUCAUCAUCCCCCCACCCCCAUAAAUGUGUGCGGAUGGUUAAUCGUUCCUGUGCUCUGUAAUGGCGCUUGGUCAACUCCACGGCCCCUUGGCUGCGCUUCCCGCGGAGCCGGUCUGCACUGUCGUAGGGCUGGGAUCUGUUCUUUAAUUAAGUCCGAUGAAGCACAGGGUAUGUGAGAUGUAAAUACACCUCUUCUGUGCGAGUGGGAGAGGGUUAAAUCUGCUGGCACUACGUGAACGUAGAUUUAUGUGCGAUGCCCUUUAAUACCGAUUUUGGGGAGGGAACAAACUGGGAAUGACAUACGGGGGGGGAGGAUUGCAAAUUGAUUACUUGGCUGUUUGAACAGAGACAAUAAAUCUUGAAAUGGUCACAUUGGAGGAAGAAAACCCAACCAGCUGCUUGCACUAUUUUCAAUAGCGAGCGUGCACCUCCUUGGCGCUGCCCCAGCGUUCGGGGCGCUGAAGGGCGCGAGGCCCCACGGCCCUGCGCGCCCGGCCGUUUCCCACGUGGGUCUCCCACCCGCGCGGUGCCGCCCGUGGGGCCGGGCCGGGCUGGCGACGUGCGUGGCGGCGGCGGUGCUGCUUUCUCCGUCUGCAGCAGCCACGGGUAAUGAAAACAUGGGCAAUAAAAAACUGUAACCCUCUGCUACGAUA